rnacentral:lncRNA from 1 species
AGACCUCCCAGUGCCAAGUGUAUAAGCGUGUCCAGAAUUGGUGGGUCUCACUGACUUCAAGAAUGAAGCCGCGGACCCUCCUGGCGGAAUUCUCCACGAGUUUUGAGCAGCCUCGGUUUUCCCACCACCUCCAAAUCAUGCAAGACACAGGCCCCCGGAGCCAUGGCCAGCCCUUCCGGCAGCUCCAAAGCCACUGGCAAGCCCCGAGGCAGGGAUGGCCGGCCCAGGAGGGAGGAGGACGACGUCCCUCCCGAAGAGAAGAGGCUGCGGCUCUUGCUGGAGGGGGGAAGCGCACAGCCCCAGGACUGCGAGGACGGGGAGGACGCGCCGCGGCCGGGCAGGGAGGAGACCGGCACCCAGACAGGUGGCGACGGCAGAGGAGCGCAGUGGCUCACACCUGUAAUCCCAGCACUUUGGCAGGUCGAGGCUGGCGGAUCACCUAAGGUCAGGAGUUCGAGACCAGCCUAGCCAACAUGGCGGAACUGUCUCUACUAAAAAUACAGAAAUUAGCCAGGUGUGAUGGCACACACCUGUAAUCCCAGCUGCUUGGGAGGCUGAGGCAGGAGAAUCAUUUGAACCUGGGAGACAGAGGUUGCAGUCAGCCGAGAUCACACCACUGCACUUCAGCCACCUGGGUGACAGAGCGAGACUCUGUUUCAAAAAUAAAUAAAUAAAUAAAAUAGAAUUCUGAAUUUUAUUUUUAA